CCUACGUGGGGCAGCAGUGGGGAAUAUUGGGCAAUGGGCGCAAGCCUGACCCAGCAACGCCGCGUGAAGGAAGAAGGCUUUCGGGUUGUAAACUUCUUUUCUGAGGGACGAAGAACGUGACGGUACCUCAGGACUAAGCCACGGCUAACUACGUGCCAGCAGCCGCGGUAAUACGUAGGUGGCAAGCGUUAUCCGGAUUUAUUGGGUGUAAAGGGCGUGUAGGCGGGAAAGCAAGUCAGAUGUGAAAACUCAGGGCUCAACCCUGAGCCUGCAUUUGAAACUGUUUUUCUUGAGUGCUGGAGAGGCAAUCGGAAUUCCGUGUGUAGCGGUGAAAUGCGUAGAUAUUAGGAGGAACACCAGUGGCGAAGGCGGCCUGCUGGACGACAACUGACGGUGAGGCGCGAAAGCGUGGGGAGCAAACAGGAUUAGAUACCCGUGUAGUC
rnacentral:rRNA from 1 species